rnacentral:rRNA from 1 species
UACGUGGGGGGCAAGCGUUGUCCGGAAUCAUUGGGCGUAAAGAGCGUGUAGGCGGCCCGGUAAGUCCGCUGUGAAAGUCCAGGGCUCAACCCUGGGAUGCCGGUGGAUACUGUCGGGCUCGAGUCCGGAAGAGGAGUGUGGAAUUCCUGGUGUAGCGGUGAAAUGCGCAGAUAUCAGGAGGAACACCAAUGGCGAAGGCAGCACUCUGGGACGUGACUGACGCUGAGACGCGAAAGCGUGGGGAGCGAACAGG